UGGGGAAUAUUGGACAAUGGGCGCAAGCCUGAUCCAGCAAUGCCGCGUGAGUGAAGAAGGCCUUCGGGUUGUAAAGCUCUUUUGUCAGGGAAGAAACGGUAGUAGCGAAUAACUAUUACUAAUGACGGUACCUGAAGAAUAAGCACCGGCUAACUACGUGCCAGCAGCCGCGGUAAUACGUAGGGUGCAAGCGUUAAUCGGAAUUACUGGGCGUAAAGCGUGCGCAGGCGGUUGUGUAAGUCAGAUGUGAAAUCCCCGGGCUCAACCUGGGAAUUGCAUUUGAGACUGCACGGCUAGAGUGUGUCAGAGGGGGGUAGAAUUCCACGUGUAGCAGUGAAAUGCGUAGAUAUGUGGAGGAAUACCGAUGGCGAAGGCAGCCCCCUGGGAUAACACUGACGCUCAUGCACGAAAGCGUGGGGAGCAAACAGGAUUAGAUACCCCUGUAGUCCCUGAGCGGGCUGGCAAGGCGCAU
rnacentral:rRNA from 1 species